GGGAAUCCCCUCCGAGGCUGGCGGGAUGUAGCCUCCAGCGACUAGGUCCUCUUGCGCCAGCUUCGUGGGACAUUCCUCAUGAGUACGUUGUGCCGUGGUAUUCCAGUCUGAAGGAAGAUACUUACAAAAACUGCUACAAGGACCAGGAGGGGUUGUGCCUAUUCUGUUUAAACACGAGGGAUGUUUCUGCCAUAGCAAUAUGGAGUUCAUUAAAGCGCCGGUGCCAUUAUGCUUUCUGGUGAAACUGCUCCUGUGAAUUGCUAGCUGGCGAUACAGGAGACUUCGGCAGCCAGAUGCAGAUGAGUUACAGGAGAAGCAAGGUAACUGCACAUACGACGGAAAAGCACCAUCACCUCUGCUCCGCCGCCACCGUCGUGUGCGUGCUGUCUCCAGGUCUUGAAGCUCUCUCCAUGGGACGCGUGUGCUCUCGCCGCCCUGUGCGUGUUAUGCAGUUUUUGUGUUUGGGACAAGUGUGUUAUGCAGUUGCCCUCUACCCCAAUCUAACUCGUAUUUAUAGGUUAGCAGAUAGGUCUCACCAGCGCACCUUAGUCACAGGCCGUUCAGCCUCCCGAUUUUAUUGCUGCACCUGCUUAUAUCGGAUAGAGAUGACCUCUGUUGAGUUAUCUUAGUAUCAGAUUGCACGUGAGGAUAGGGGAUAUUUGUUUGUUGGCCGUCACAACGCAUAAGGAGGUGUGCCACGGGAGUAGAACAGAUAAGCCUUGUUUGUUAGCAAGUCUGUUAGUCACGAAGGUUGUUGUAUGAGUCAAUGGUUGGACUGUGGUGGUAUUAUUGUGUAAAUAAGACGAGGUGUGACAUAGUGGGAAGUGUGACAUCGGGGGAAGUGUGACAUCAUAUGUUUCACCUUAAUAGUAAAGGCACCUGCUUA